CUCGGUCAGUGAGAUCACCUGAGAGAUCACAGUGAAGGUUCAACGUGUUGGAAUCUCACGUAGGCAAUGUUAAUGGUCGCUUUCUCGUGGUGCGGUGAGAACAAAAGCAUUCCUUUCUUUCCCUCUUUCUCUUUCUCCCAACAAAAGAAGACAACGAAUGCCAUUCUCCACCAUUAGGAAUGGUCAAAUUGCACAGUUGAUGGAGACCCAGGUAGAACCGAUUCCUUGUUACGAUUGGUGAAACUCUUGUUGAUUGAACUGCGAAUUGCACUACUUUACCAGAGAGGGAGAGAAAGAAAGAGAGAUUGCCUGGGAUCGGAGGCGGUCGUUUUCCUUGAGGAGGGAGUCAUGGUCGGAGAGAAGAGAGCCGUAGGAGGAUU
rnacentral:lncRNA from 1 species